rnacentral:lncRNA from 1 species
UGAGCCCUGCUCAGAAGUCAAGAGCAGCGGCGCGGCCGCUCGUCGCAGCCUUUCACGCUGCAGCCGCUCCUCAUUCUUGUGCCUCGGACCCUCUGAGCGCCCCCGGACAAAGCCCCCACAACCCGGCCUCUCCCUUCCCGCUAAAUCCCCUUCGGGGUCAGUGCGCUACCGGCACCGGGCCGCGCGCCUCUCCUGCCAGCCCUGUGGCUCUUAAAGAGCCCCACACCCCUCCGCCCCGCGCGCUCCUCCGACCCCCCCCGCCACCCCUCCCCUCUCCUCCGGAUCUCGCCCCCCACGCCAACGCCUGAGGUCCCUACUGCCCCGAC